AGCGAACGCUAGCGGCGGGCCUAACACAUGCAAGUCGAGCGCAUACCUUCGGGUAUGAGCGGCGGACGGGUGAGUAACGCGUAGGUCAUCUACCCUUUGGUGGGGGAUAACCCAGGGAAACUUGGGCUAAUACUGCACGAGGUCUACGGAUCAAAGCCUUCGGGCGCCAGAGGAUGAGCCUGCGUCGCAUUACCUAGUUGGCGGGGUAACGGCCCACCAAGGGGACGAUGCGUAGCUGGUCUGAGAGGAUGAUCAGCCACACUGGGACUGAGACACGGCCCAGACUCCUACGGGAGGCAGCAGUGGGGAAUAUUGCGCAAUGGGGGGAAACCCUGACGCAGCCACGCCGCGUGGGUGAUGAAGGCCUUCGGUUGUAAAGCCCUGUCGGGAGGGACGGAAUUCUUGACGGUACCUCCAAAGAAAGACACCGGCUAACUCCGUGCCAGCAGCCG
rnacentral:rRNA from 1 species